UACGUAGGGUGCGAGCGUUGUCCGGAAUUAUUGGGCGUAAAGGGCUCGUAGGCGGUCUGUCGCGUCGAAAGUGAAAAUCCAGGGCUUAACCCUGGGCCUGCUUCCGAUACGGGCAGACUAGAGGUAUGCAGGGGAGAACGGAAUUCCUGGUGUAGCGGUGAAAUGCGCAGAUAUCAGGAGGAACACCGGUGGCGAAGGCGGUUCUCUGGGCAUUACCUGACGCUGAGGCGCGAAAGCUAGGGGAGCGAACAGG
rnacentral:rRNA from 1 species